UUAAAUUUGGUGUUUUGAUAUAGAUUUGCAAUGUAUAAGUGUAUCUAAUUUUUGGGUCCCGUGGAAAUUUUUUUGUUGAGAUAUAUAUGAUACCUCAGGUUGAUAUAAGGCUAUGGCUUGUGACUCUGGCUUUUGUUAUCUUUAGUGUUAUGCAAUUUUAAUAGAUUGGAAAGUUGUGUGUUGUUACCUGGCGCAUAUAUCUUGUACUAGUGGGAGGUUACCGUGGUAUAUGCCAGUGCCCGAUGUCUUAGUUUGUAGAUUCUAUUAUGCUAGGAAUCCACAUUUCUUAUAUUAUUAUGAUGGAGUCUAUUGUUUUGUUCGUUUAACCCGCAAAAAAACUUUAAAGGUAAAAUAUCAUACAAAAUUUUACUUAUCAAAAAAACAAAUAGCACAGAGAAUUUUUUUCUAGUGAAACAACUGUUUCGAACAUCAAAAAUGCUCACUACUUGUCUUUACACACACACAGACAUUAUUUAUAGUUGUUUAUCCAUCAUAUUUGAACCAUCUUUUAACGAUGUCCUUUCUUCUUAAGUGCUAUUUUUCUUUUAUUUGGGGGAUAUUAGGGAGCUGCAGGGUGAGGGUGUUGUGCAGCCACUGGUAAAAAUGGUUUCUUUACUUAUUUUUUUCCCUUUUAAGCACUUGGACAGAAUCCUCUUCGCAUACCAAUGACUAUCUCUUGAAAUCUGAAUAUUUCAGGCUCGUAGCAUGUAAUAUAUAAUUUGCAACGCACGGAUACACAUAUAUAAUGACACUCUGGAGUUCUAGCGUACAUUUGCUUAAUCUAUGGUGCUCCCUGUUCUCAGGGUAAUAUCCUGGCAGAUUCUGCCUCUGAGCGACUUGAAUUUACUGCUCACAAAGGACAAGAGACCCAAAGUAUCAACAAAAGGUUCUGAAGACUCGAGUCUAUAAAGUGAAGAUGCAAAUUUUGAAGACUUUCUUACGAGUCAAUUAUCAUUUUGCUAGGAGUGUUAGCCUGAAGCUUAUGCUAUUUAGGAAGGAAUAUAUAUAUAUAUAUAUAUAUAUAUAUAUAUAUAUAUAUAUAUAUACACACACACACACUUAUAUUUGGCUGGGGUUUUGUGUAAUAAUGCAAUGACUAAUAGGCUACUUUAUUUGCUUUUUCUAAUUAAUUACAGAAGUAUGAAUGAAAGAAUGGUACUUUCUUA